CGUGGCUCAGGACGAACGCUGGCGGCGUGCUUAACACAUGCAAGUCGAGCGGAAAGGCCCUUCGGGGUACUCGAGCGGCGAACGGGUGAGUAACACGUGAGCAACCUGCCCUAGGCUUUGGGAUAACCCUCGGAAACGGGGGCUAAUACCGAAUAGGACCUGACCUCGCAUGGGGUUGGGUGGAAAGUUUUUCGGCCUGGGAUGGGCUCGCGGCCUAUCAGCUUGUUGGUGGGGUGAUGGCCUACCAAGGCGACGACGGGUAGCCGGCCUGAGAGGGCGACCGGCCACACUGGGACUGAGACACGGCCCAGACUCCUACGGGAGGCAGCAGUGGGGAAUAUUGCACAAUGGGCGGAAGCCUGAUGCAGCGACGCCGCGUGAGGGAUGACGGCCUUCGGGUUGUAAACCUCUUUCAGCAGGGACGAAGCGCAAGUGACGGUACCUGCAG
rnacentral:rRNA from 1 species